rnacentral:rRNA from 1 species
GAGUAGGGAGGCGUAGGAACCGAGCCGAAUAGGGCGCAUAGUUGCUGGGCGUAGACCCGAAACCAAGUGAUCUAUCCAUGGCCAGGUUGAAGGUGCCGUAACAGGUACUGGAGGACCGAACCCACUAGUGUUGCAAAACUAGGGGAUGAGCUGUGGAUAGGGGUGAAAAGGCUAAACAAACUUGGAAAUAGCUGGUUCUCUCCGAAAAACUAUUUAGGUAGUGCCUCACGUAUCACUCUCGGGGGUAGAGCACUGUCAUGGCUAGGGGGUCAUCGCGACUUACCAAACCAUAGCAAACUCCGAAUACCGAGAAGUGCGAGCGUGGGAGACAGACAUCGGGUGCUAACGUCCAGUGUCAAGAGGGAAACAACCCAGACCGCCAGCUAAGGUCCCAAAUGACGUGCUAAGUGGUAAACGAAGUGGGAAGGCAUAGACAGCCAGGAUGUUGGCUUAGAAGCAGCCAUCAUUUAAAGAAAGCGUAAUAGCUCACUGGUCGAGUCGUCCUGCGCGGAAGAUGUAACGGGG